CUCCUGUGAAGUGUUGAAUAGGUCUAAAGUAGAAAUCAUGGAAUGUAGACUCCGAAGACCAGCCGCUCUCAUAAUAUCCUCCAAGCGACAACCAAUCGAGGAAGCCUUAGAAGCCAUUGCCCUACUAACCGAAUGAGGCACAGACACAUAGGUAUCAAUACCUGCUAGAGACAUAACGUAUUUGACCCACCAGGCUAGAGUAGACACCGGAAGAUGC